rnacentral:rRNA from 1 species
UACGAAGGGUGCUAGCGUUGUUCGGAAUUACUGGGCGUAAAGCGCGCGUAGGCGGCUUAGCAAGUCAGGGGUGAAAUCCCACAGCUCAACUGUGGAAUUGCCUUUGAAACUGCUAAGCUUGAGUGUCGGAGGGGAUAGCGGAAUUGCUAAUGUAGAGGUGAAAUUCGUAGAUAUUAGCAGGAACACCGGUGGCGAAGGCGGCUAUCUGGACGACAACUGACGCUGAGGCGCGAAAGCGUGGGGAUCAAACAGG